CAUGAAGCAACUCUGCUCUUGUGUCCCCCUGCUUCCACCAUUGCAGCCCUCGCUACCACAAGGGCUCGAACAAAGCCAAGAGCGUCUUCUUGAGUGGAACCAAACUUAGAGUCCAUGUAAGCGUAACAGCCAAUAGAAAAAACGAAAAGGAGUCAUUAUUAUGAAAAGGCAUCCAAUCCCUCAUGUUUCCUUCGGUCUAACUUUACUCUGCAGCGGACAGACUUGAUGCGAGUAUGGCGGAAAACCAUUGGUACGCUGCCCCCGCCUGCUGCCAAUGAGCACCUCGCACAUAUUAGUCAAAGUCAAAAGACAGAUAGGAGGUCUUUCGUUUGUUGUCUGGCUGGGUCCAGUUGGCUUUAGUUUGAUAUUUCUCUUCCACCCCCUGGUGGAUACCUUUAUCACUACAACAAUUCAGUCACAGUACAUGGGACAAUCCAAGAUGGCAGCCUUCUGAAAGUUCCCAACUCCCUGGAUCAAGAUGGCGAAACAAUACACUGCUGAAGAUGUCCUACGCUUCCUUGAUGGCAAUUUAAGUGACAGAGGAGUUUAUGUCUGCAGAUGAUGAAGUGUUGUAUAAAGAUUGGACCCCUAAUGCAGACUAUAAUGAAGAGAACUCUAGUACUGGUAGUAGCAGUGAGGAAGAUAAAACUGUUGAUGAUAGGCUUGAAGAGGAAGAGGAGGGUGUAAGAAUGUCACAGGCAACAAAACAGUGUGGUAGAAGCAAAGUGAAAAGAGAAGAAAAGAAAGGCACAGCCAGCUGCUGGGUUUGAUAAAAAAGUAAUGACCAGAUGA